GACGAACGCUGGCGGCGUGCUUAACACAUGCAAGUCGAACGGAAAGACCCUGCUUUUGUGGGGUGCUUGAGUGGCGAACGGGUGAGUAACACGUGAGUAACCUGCCCUUGACUUUGGGAUAACUUCAGGAAACUGGGGCUAAUACCGGAUAGGAGCUCCUGCUGCAUGGUGGGGGUUGGAAAGUUUCGGCGGUUGGGGAUGGACUCGCGGCUUAUCAGCUUGUUGGUGGGGUAGUGGCUUACCAAGGCUUUGACGGGUAGCCGGCCUGAGAGGGUGACCGGCCACAUUGGGACUGAGAUACGGCCCAGACUCCUACGGGAGGCAGCAGUGGGGAAUAUUGCACAAUAGGCGGAAGCCUGAUGCAGCAACGCCGCGUGCGGGAUGACGGCCUUCGGGUUGUAAACCGCUUUCGCCUGUGACGAAGCGUGAGUGACGGUAAUGGGUAAAGAAGCACCGGCUAACUACGUG
rnacentral:rRNA from 1 species